UUGCCUGCCCAGUGACAACUGUUUAACGGCCGCGGUAUCCUGACCGUGCAAAGGUAGCAUAAUCAUUUGUUCUCUAAAUAAGGACUUGUAUGAAUGGCCACACGAGGGUUUUACUGUCUCUUACUUCCAAUCAGUGAAAUUGACCUUCCCGUGAAGAGGCGGGAAUGCAUAAAUAAGACGAGAAGACCCUAUGGAGCUUUAACUAACCAACCCAAAGAAAAUAAAUUUAACCAUUGAGGAACAACAACAAUCUCCAUGAGUUGGUAGUUUCGGUUGGGGUGACCUCGGAGAAUAAAAAAUCCUCCGAACGAUUUUAAAGACUAGACCCACAAGUCAAAUCACUCUAUCGCUCAUUGAUCCAAAAAUUUGAUCAACGGAACAAGUUACCCUAGGGAUAACAGCGCAAUCCUAUUUAAGAGUCCAUAUCGACAAUAGGGUUUACGACCUCGAUGUUGGAUCAGGACAUCCUGAUGGUGCAACCGCUAUCAAAGGUUCGUUUGUUCAACGAUUAAAGUCCUACAUGAUC
rnacentral:rRNA from 1 species